UACGGGGGGGGCAAGCGUUGUUCGGAAUUACUGGGCGUAAAGGGCUCGUAGGUGGCCAACUAAGUCGGACGUGAAAUCCCUCGGCUUAACCGGGGAACUGCGUCUGAUACUGGAUGGCUUGAGUUCGGGAGAGGGAUGCGGAAUUCCAGGUGUAGCGGUGAAAUGCGUAGAUAUCUGGAGGAACACCGGUGGCGAAGGCGGCAUCCUGGACUGGUCCUGACACUCAGGAGCGAAAGCGUGGGGAGCGAUCCGG
rnacentral:rRNA from 1 species